UUACGGCCACAUCACGUUGAAACCCGCUUCUCGUACGAUCAACGAAGUUAAGCAACGUCGAGCCUGGCCAGUACCUAGAUGGGUGACUGCUUGGGAAUACCAGAUGCUGUAAG